rnacentral:rRNA from 1 species
GAGGGGCAGCACGGGUAGCAAUACUUGGUGGCGACCGGCGCAAGGGUGCGUAACGCGUGAGCAACAUGCCCGUAUCAGGGGAAUAAUCCAGGGAAACUUGGUCUAAUACCCCAUAGCAAUUAUUUGAGGCAUCUUAAAUAAUUUAAAGCUUUGGUGGAUACGGAUUGGCUCGCGUGACAUUAGCUAGAUGGUAAGGUAACGGCUUACCAUGGCUACGAUGUCUAGGGGUUCUGAGAGGAAGAUCCCCCACACUGGAACUGAGACACGGUCCAGACUCCUACGGGAGGCAGCAGUGAGGAAUAUUGGACAAUGGAUGGAAAUCUGAUCCAGCCAUGCCGCGUGCAGGAAGACGGCCCUAUGGGUUGUAAACUGCUUUUGUAUGGGAGCAAUAAGGUCUAUGCGUAGACUGAUGAGAGUACCAUACGAAUAAGCAUCGGCUAACUCCGUGCCAGCAGCCGCGGUAAUACGGGGGAUGCAAGCGUUAUCCGGAUUUAUUGGGUUUAAAGGGUGCGUAGGCGGUUUGAUAAGUCAGCGGUGAAAUAUUUCAGCUUAACUGAAAGGGUGCCGUUGAUACUGUCAGGCUUGAAUAUGGUUGCUGUGGGUGGAAUGUGUGGUGUAGCGGUGAAAUGCUUAGAUAUCACACAGAAUAUCGAUUGCGAAGGCAGCUCACAAAGCCAUUAUUGACGCUGAUGCACGAAAGUGUGGGGAUCAAACAGGAUUAGAUACCCUGGUAGUCCACACUGUAAACGAUGAUAACUCGCUGUCGGCGAUACACAGUCGGUAGCCAAGCGAAAGCGAUAAGUUAUCCACCUGGGGAGUACGACCGCAAGGUUG